CACGCGCGAUGUGGUGCAACCACGGGAACAACCUCAGAUCGGUGGCGGAGACCACGUGCCGCGAUGCUACAUCCCGAAGGGGCGACGCAGCGGCGGCGCAGAUCGAUGCAGCCACAAGGAGAACCACGGGGCGGCGGCGCUGCGGCCCGAUGGGGCGACGCAGCGGCAACCCAUUGCUCGAUCAGUGGAGGGGCGCGCUGAACUCGGGGACAGGGCGGUGACGGCCGGCGUAGGUCGACCAGCGGGCCGAUGCACGGACAACGGCCGGGAGGGGGCCCCUGUCGCGCGAGGCUACCUGGUCGGUGAAGAGGCCGGUAGAUGGCGCUGGUGUCGGAGUAGAGGCACGGUGGUGGACGAUGGCGGCAGGCGACGCAAACCGAUCAAGCAUAGAUCGGAAACCAAAAAGAAAAACGCCCGGCGAAAGAGCGAAGAAAAAAAACGGAGCAAGGGCUCGGGAAAAAGACUCUCUAGGGCAGCCGGUCAACACGACCGGCGGACGAACCCUAGGUACGGGUGGUGCGGCCCCCGACGGCGGUCAUGGAGGCCGCCCCGGGGGCGGCACUCGGGUGCAGAAGCGGCGGCGGCUAGGGUUUAGGAUCGAGGUAAGGCUGAUACCAUGUUAGAAGGGAGAGAGAGGAUUGGUGGAAUAGUUGUUGUAUUGCUUGAGCCUCGUGGGCAUAUAUAUAGGAGUACAUAGUCAACUUGGAGUACAAGACAAGCCGGGACAUAUCCUAGUCUAUCUCAUAUUUCCUAAAUAAACAUAAUACUCAACAGAUUCUUCUGCUCCAACAUACACAAUCAACUACCCGCAAAAAAAAACAUACACAAUCAACAGCGGCAACCAUCGGGCUAAAAGAAAGGCACAAUCGCAAUGACAUACUUGCAGUUGCAGCGGAGACAGGACUUGUAGCGAAAAUAAUGCCAUCAUACUUGCAGCGGAGGUACGACUUGUAGCGAAAAUAAUGCCAUCUUUCAGAAUGGCUCGUGUAAAAACAGAAGAUAACCUCAGCGUACUUCAUGAGAAGGCGAAGCCAGUCAGUUAUGUUAGCACACCAGCAAACCCAGAGCAGAUUGCUUUACAUACCAAAGUUUCAAGCGAGAUAGAAAGUGUGAAAUUCAGUGCUUAUCAUUUCAUAAAACAGGAAAUUUCUAUCUUUACAAAUUACAUCCCUCCGUUCCUCAUGUUAGCAUCAUGUCGGGAUUAUUAGUUUAUAAUUAUUUUGUGCAUCACAAUCUUCAAAUUCAAAAGGAGAAAUAUAGCACAUACACAUCACAACUCCUCUGUUUCUCCGCCUCAAAGCAGCAGCACAAAACAGGCUUCAUUAAUCUCAAUUUGCGAGUGAAAUUAGUUCAAGCAUAUAAACUCAACCUGAAUUAUCAAGGAUGCAAGCAAAUGGAUCAAACAACAACGAAAGGGAUAGAUCGUACCACAAAAGGGCUUGACUUCUUGCUACUGUUGGUGGUGGCCACGGCAGGAUCGGAGCGAGUGGAGUAAGACGAAAUCACUAGUUGAGGAGUACUCGUUGCAAAGAUCACCCCAACCUCUCCAGAUUGCAACAAGUGGCGCGCUGCAUGUGCAUCACUUGUCGCAACCUGGAAGUUUUCCCUUUUUUCAUAGAUCCGUUUAUUCAAAAUGUUUUAUCACUUAAACCGUGUGUCCAAAUCUCGAACCGCUUUCAUCGUUGGAUUCCUCGCGUUGAGAUCUUCAAAACUAGAUCCUAUGUUGAUAGGUUUUGACAAACUUUUUUUUUCACGAAAAACCGAACCGGGAGCACGGGUUUUUUCCCUUUCCGAAAAAGGUAUACCCGUGCCUCUCACGAAAUCACAACCGUGCCUCUCGCGGAAGCAAAACCGUGACACUCGCGGAAGGAAAAAAAAGAAAACACGUUUUUUUCGUCUCCAAGAAGGCACGGCCGUGACUCUCACGAAAGCACAACCGUCCCUCUUGCGGAAGAUAAACCGUGACUCUCUCGAAAGAAAAAAAACAGAAAACGCGUUUUUUUCGUUUCCGAGAGGCACGGCCGUGACUCGCGAAAAGCACAACCGUGUCUGUCGCGGAAGCAAAACCGUGACUCUCACGAAAAGAAAAAAAACAUAAAAUACGUUUUUUUUCAUUUCCGAGAGGCUCAACCGUGACUCUCGCGAAAAGAAAAAAAAAUAAAACGUGUUUUUUUGUGCAAAAACAAUUGAAUUUUUUUAUUGAAAAGCUAAGGAAGACCGGUGGAAAACCAAAACGUUGAAAAAAACUGAAAAAACCGUUUAAAAAGCCGAAAACGCGUGCGAAAAAAAUAAAAUUCGGAGGGAGCGCGACACGUGGCAAAUGGCUGAGAGCGCGCCAAGUGACGCUGAUCGUUGCGAGCCUCCCAAAGGAGCGCUAGUUGCUCUCGGGGGAAUAACAUGACGACGCUGGGAAGAAGUGGAUGGUUGGCUCGGCUGUAGGGCCAAGCCGUCCUCCUCCAUGGCCGCCUAGCCAGAUUCAGCUCUCGACAUCUCUCUCUCCGCACUUAGAUGGAGGCGAGGACGAAGCCCUAGCAAAAAUUAUAUCACCGAAAAGAUUCAAGUUUGACCGUAAAUUUAACCAACGAGACAGCUUGCGGCGGGAUAUCGAUCUCGUUGGUUAAAUUUACGGUCAAAUUUGAAUCUCGAAAAUACGGACGCACUAAUAGGCGGCCAUGUCAACCUAUUUGGGCCGGUCAACCCGCAACCGUAGGAUUUCGUUGAUUCUAGUUCGAUGCACUUCGUCUUUAUCAGAACACACGCGUACGGAAAUAUUCCCCUGCAUCUCAUCGCUCUCUUCCGACUGGCCGGCCGCAGUUGCUCUCUGGUCGCUGCCCUCACGGGUCCUCCUCGUUGCCAGUCGUCACCCUCGCCGGCCAUCCUCGUUGCCGAUUGAAGCAUCAAAUGGCGCGACGGCGUCGCUCACAGCCAAUAGCAGUUGUAGCAAAAAUCUUUGUCGAUUCCAGCAAAACAAAAACAUGGUGGAAGCAAAAAUAUGGGUCACCAGUUCCAGCAAAAAACACAAUACGCGGAAGCAAAAUAAAAUGAUACAUCGGUUCCAGCAAAAACACAACACGGUGGAAGCAAAAUGAGACGCCGGUUCCAGCAAAAAAAGACGGUGGUAGCAAAAGAAUUGUCUGAUUCCAGCAAAAUCUGAAGACGGUAGUAGCAAAAAUUGGGGAUGAUUGCAACAAAAAAACAAACUGGUUCCAUCUAUGUGUGUCGCAAUUGCAGCACCGCCGUCCGGACGUGGUCACCACGUCGGGUCGUGGUCACCACUGCCAUGGGAUGGCCCCAGCUGGUAGCAGCUUCGCCUUGGAUGGUUGCAACUAGUCGUACAUAGGUUGCAACCAUCCCAUGGCGCCGCCAUGGCUCGGAUGCAAAACCGAUGCAGCUCCGUGCACCACCGGGUUGCAGCCCAUCGCGCACACCGUCGUUGCCGUCGUAGCAAAAUGGUUGGCCGGCUGCAGCUUUUUGUGUUGCCGGUUGUAGCCCAUCGCGGUAGCUCUGUCGGCACCGUAGCAAAACAGUUUGCCAGUUGCAGCCUUUUAAUUUGCCGGUUCCAGCUGCUCGCGCAGCCAAUAGCAGCACCGGAGCUCGCCGGUUCCGGCAGGCGGUGGGUGGUUGCAGCAAAGAACACUGGCGAGGGGUGGACUGCAGCGUGGGCUUGCAGCAUCACUGGUGUGCCCGACCUUGCUUUACGCUCAUGGAAGAAAAGAGUGAGAGGUAGAAGAAGAAAUUGGGGACCAAGGGAUAGACAGAAAAAAGAAAGAUGUAGACGAGAGACGGAGAAAGGAUAAGAGACGUGUGGAUGUGGUCUCUUCUGGUGGAGAAAACGAGAAGCGGUGCGCUUGGGGCCCACAACUACAUGGUGCGUGGCGUGUGACUGGCUGGAGUUUCGGCCGGCGCACCGUCUCCGAACGUUUUCUUGUGAAAAGGAGUGAGUAAAAGAAAACUAGGAUGACCGAGCACACAAAUCGUGCAAAAUACAGACUUCCAAGACAAAAAGGAGAGAAAGAGAUAAUAAAGGGAGAAGAAAUAAGAGGGCAGGACCGUCUUUUCCGUCCCCCUUCUUCCUUGCGAGCACAGGGUUUUCUUCCGCCGCUCCCCCCAAUCCAUCCAUCGAUUCCCAUCCGCCGCCGCCGCCGUCUUCCAGCCCCCACCCCCACCUCCAGUCUAGACCCCGCGCGCCGCGCCGAUGGGGCGCAAGAAAAACGUCGCCAUCGACGACGACGAGUACUCCCUGCCGCAGGACGACGAGGCCGCCCCCCCGCCGCCCCCCCGCCGCCCCCCGCCGCCGCCGCGGAGAAGGAGAAGCCGCCGCCCAAGAAGGGCGGCAAGAAGGGCGGCAAGUCCGCCGCGCACGACGACGACGACGACUACGAGCCCGCCCCGCCUCCCCCGCCGGCGGGCGAGGAGGACGACGAGCCGAUCAACGUCGUCUUCACCGGCAAGAAGAAGAAGAAGAAGGGUGGCGCGGGCGGGGGCGGGAUGAGCGCCUUCGACGCCCUCGCGGCCGCCGAGGACCAGGAUGAGGACGAGGCCCCUGCCUCCACCACCGCAUCCGAGCUCGAGGCCGGUAGGUCUGAGGCCAGCGGCGAUCUCGACGACGUCGACCUCGAUUUCGACUUCAGCAAGUCCAAGAAGAAAAAGAAGAAGGGCAAGGGAGCUCGCCUGUCCGCCGAGGAGGACGAGGAGGCGGCUGCUGCUGCUGCGGCGGCGCCCCCAGCUGCUGCCGAGGAAGAGGAGGAGCAGGAGGCUGCGGCCAUGGCUGCCAAGAAGCCACAGAAGAAGAAGAAAAAGAAGGGUGGGUUUACUGUGGACGAUGAGGACAUCGACAAGCUCCUGGCCGAGAUGGAGGAUCCUCCCCAACCAGCAAAGGAGGCUGAGCCGGAGGAGGCUAAAGGUGGGGAUUCUCUGGCUGCCCCAGAUGCCGAUGAUGCCGGCGGAAAGAAAUCGAAGAAGAAGAAAAAGAAGGGAGGGUUUACUGUCGACGAUGAGGACAUUGACAAGCUCCUUGCAGAGAUUGAGGACCGGCCUGCUGCCGCUGAGGAGCCUGAGCCCAAGUCAGCCAAGGCAGAGGAUACUGUGGCUGCUGCUCCUGCUGCGACCAGUGUGGAUGAUGCUGAAGGGAAGAAAUCAAAGAAGAAAAAGAAGAAGAGCGGAAGGACAGCACAGGAAGAGGAGGAUCUGGACAAGCUUCUUGCUGAGCUCGGUGAAGGACCGGCACCGGCACCGGAGAAGGAGAAACCAUCCCAGGCAGCGCCUUCCGCUCCAGCAGUGAAGGAGGACGCUGAAACUGCGGAGGAUGGUAAUGCAGAGCAGAAGGCCGGGGAAGGAGAGGUAGAGUCCGCUGCAGCCAAGAAGAAAAAGAAGAAGAAAGAAAAAGAGAAGGAGAAGAAGGCAGCAGCAAAGGGGACAGAGGCUAAGAAGGAGGAGGAAAAGGAGCCAGAGGCGCCUAAAGGCAAGGUUGACAUGAAGAAGCUCCCAAAGCAUGUCCGGGAGAUGCAGGAGGCUCUUUUGAAGAGGCAGGAAGCCGAGGAGCGGAGGAAGAAAGAGGAGGAAGAACGUUUGAGGAAGGAGGAAGAGGAGCGUUUGAGGAAAGAGGAGGAGGAGAAGAAGGCAGAGGAAGCAAAGAGGAGGAAGAAGGAGAGGGAAAAGGAGAAGCUGCUCAAGAAGAAGCAGGAAGGUAAGCUUUUAACAGGGAAGCAGAAGGAGGAGGCCAAGCGGUUAGAAGCCAUGAGGAGACAAUUCCUUGGUGAGAGUGAAGUUCCAGUAGCUGAUGGGGCUGCCCCUGAGAUUAAGAAGAGGCCAAAGUAUGAUAGCAAGAAGAAAAAAGUUCAAACAAAGGCUUCAGAGGCCCAGAAGGUAGCUGAAGAACAACAGCAAGAGGUAAAUGAAGCCAACAUUGACGAGGAAGAGUAUGUCAUAGUGGACCAGGAAUCUCAGUCUCAGGUGGCAGAAUCUGAGACAAAAACAGAACCCGACCAAGAGGUGGAAGAGGCAAAACAAGAAGAGGAGGAAGAUGAAGAUUACUGGGAUGCAAAGAGCUGGGAUGAUAUCGAUGUGGGUUUGUCGAAGACAAGUGCUUUCGAGGAGGAAGAGGAGAAGGAGGACAAGCCUGUUGCCACGAAGCAGGAAAUUUCUAAACCGCAACCUGUAGUGCCUGCUGUAAAAAAUGUUGCUCCGCCUGUUGACAACUCUAAAAAGAGUGAAACUGAAAAUGUGCGUGCCAACAAUGGAGUUGCUAAAAAGAAAGGGAAGAAAGGAUCUUCUAAAGAUGAUGAUGCUGACAAUGCUAGCGACCUCCGUUCACCAAUCUGUUGCAUCCUUGGUCAUGUUGAUACUGGAAAGACAAAGCUGCUGGACUGUAUUAGACGAACUAAUGUACAAGAAGGAGAAGCUGGCGGUAUUACUCAACAGAUUGGAGCUACAUACUUCCCAACUGAGAAUAUUAGAGAGAGAACAAGGGAAUUGAAGGCUGAUGCUACUCUCAAGGUUCCAGGCCUGCUUGUUAUUGAUACUCCUGGCCAUGAGUCCUUCAGUAAUCUGCGUUCUAGAGGUUCAAGUUUGUGCGACAUUGCUAUUUUGGUUGUCGACAUUAUGCAUGGGCUUGAACCCCAGACAAUCGAAUCCCUGAAUCUCUUGAAAAGUCGAGAUGCAGUAUUUAUCGUUGCUUUGAACAAGGUACUAUUCUUGGAUUUUUGUCCCUUUGACUUUCGGCUUCCUUACUGUUCUGCUAUUUACUUGUUUGUUUCUUAUCACUGUAUGAAGGUUGAUCGUCUUUAUGGUUGGAAGACCUGCCCCAAUGCUCCUAUCGGGAAAGCCUUGAGACAACAAAAUGAUGAUGUCAAGUUGGAGUUCAAUACGAGGCUUACUGAUGUAUGUGGACAUUAUUGUUUCCUCCUUGUUUUAUAGUAUUAUGGAAAGAACUACUAGUUGGUGUUGUUCUAAUCACAUGUAUGUGCUUUGUCCAACAGAUUGUGACACAAUUCAAGAUGCAAGGUGUGAAUACUGCUUUGUACUACAAGAACAAAGAGAUGGAAGAUACAUUUAACAUUGUGCCUACCAGUGCAGUAAGGCAUGGUCAACAAUUAAUCUUAUUGGUUCAUUCAUUCAGAUAUCUGGCAGCAAGUACGAUAUUACUAGCAUCUUUUCCUUAACACAUAAUGCACUUCUCCCUGCAGUGGUGAAGGCAUUCCUGAUCUGCUUCUACUAUUGGUGCAAUGGGCACAAAAGACGAUGGAAGAAAAGCUUACUUUUGUUGAUGAAGUCCAGGUACCGUGCAUAUAUGAGUUACUACUCAUCACUGUAGAAGAAUGCACUUGUAUGAUCUUAUCUUAUUCUGUUUCAGUGUACCGUGCAUAAAUAUACUUGUCAUUGUAGAAGAAUGCAGUCUUAUGAUCUUAUCUUAUUGUGUGUCAGUGUACUGUCCUGGAAGUCAAGGUCAUCGAAGGUCAUGGCACUACAGUUGAUGUUGUGCUGGUCAAUGGUAUGCUCCAUGAAGGAGAUCAAAUAGUCGUGUGUGGCAUGCAGGUAAGAAUCAUGUUGUAUAAUUGCAAUUGCUGCAGCAAAUACAUCACCAGCACAUGUAAGACUCAUUAUGUUCUUGUUAUAUAUCUAUUUAGGGACCCAUUGUGACAACCAUCAGAGCUUUGUUAACACCACACCCGAUGAAGGAGCUUCGAGUUAAGGUGUGUGGCUCAUUAUACUACACCUUAGUUUAAUUUCUUAUUUUAGAUCCAAUAUAUUGCUGUUCAACUAGGCUGUCACCUUUAAGAUUCAUUCUCUUUCGGUGCUUUGAUGACUGGGGACCUAUUGAUAGCUUUGAUCAAAACAUUUACAUACUGGGAGGUUUAUAUUAUGCACAUUUUUUAUGACUGGGAACCUAUUGAUAGCUUUGAUCAUAAGAUUUAUGUCAUCAUGUCAUUUUUGUGCCUACCUGGAAAUAGUAAAUUAAUGUCAUGCUAACUCUACCAAGAAAGCUCAAUGGCAUGUUUGAUUUGCAGCCAUACUUUGCCAAAUGUUAGGUAGACACGUGUACCGAGUGUUUGGAUACAUUCACAGGUGGCAUGCCACACUUUCUUUGUCAGUCACCCCACUUGUCAUGGACUCAGUUGCCAGCCAACUUUUGCCACAAGUGUGUUGACCAAUUUGUUCAUCUUAGACACCACCAUGCUUACGCCUUGCCAAGACACUUAAAAUGCUUGCAUAUUAUGAUUCAUUGCUUUCUUUUGCACUAAGAUGAUUUGAGCCUUUGGUUCACCUUUUAAGUUUGAGUUGACUAAUUCAUCGAAACACAAAAUCUCAGGGCACCUACCUUCACCAUAAGAAGAUCAGAGCUGCACAAGGAAUUAAAAUAUCAGCUCAGGUGGGUUCAUUAAUUUUUUGGCACUUCAGAGUGUAAAUAUCAGCACACUUCUGAAAAAUAACAAGUGUUCUCUGUCAGGGUCUCGAACAUGCAAUUGCUGGGACUGCUCUAUAUGCUGUACGACCUGAUGCAGAUAUAGAGGACCUGAAGGAUGCUGUAAUGGAAGAGAUGUCAAGGGUUAGGAACCGGAUUGAUAAGAGUGGCGAGGGUGUCUAUGUGCAAGCAUCUACGCUUGGGUCAUUGGAAGCUCUGACUGAGUUCUUGAAGAGCCCUGCUGUGAAUAUCCCCUUCUGUGAUUUCAGCAUAGGCCCAGUGCACAAGAAAGAUGUUAUGAAGGCCAGCGUUAUGCUUGAGAGGAAGAAGGAAUAUGCAACUAUCUUGGCGUUUGAUGUCAAAGUGAUGCCUGAUGCCCGUGAUCUUGCAGAAGAGUCUGGUGUGAAGAUCUUCGUGGCAGAUAUAAUAUACCACCUUUUUGACCAAUUUACAGCGUACAUUAAGAACAUAAGGGAAGAGAAGAAGAAGGACAGCGCCGAAGAAGCUGUUUUCCCCUGUGUUCUUAAGAUCAUGCCGAACUGUGUCUUCAACAAGAAGGAUCCAAUCGUUUUGGGUGUCGAUAUCCUCGAAGGAAUAGCAAAGGUAUUUUGUCUGAUCAGUGAAAUUUUAUAUUUUCUCAACCCUUAUUUUACUGGAUUUUUUAGCUGAGCAGUUAUCUUUCUAGAAUACCCAGUAGUUUGUAACUGGCCUAGAUUAACAAAUGCCAGUAGGCUCAUCAUCUAGAAACUGGAAACUGUCAUAUGUGUCCAUAGAUAUGAAUGUUAUGUUAUGUUUCUCAUACAUCAUGGAGUGGUUGGUCUUUCACGUCUUUCUCAAGCUAUUUUUCUAGAACAUUCAGUAGUGAAGAACCAACUGCCCAAUUAAACAAAUCCUCAUAGUCUAGAAAGUGGGACCUGUCAUAUGUAGAAUUUGAUGUCCGAAACACUUGAAUAUUAUCAUGGAGUGGUCUUUCUCAAGAUAUGUAUUCGAUUCCUUGUUUUCCCUUGUCAUGUAGGUGGGAACGCCUCUGUGCAUACCCUCGAAAGAAUUUAUUGAUAUUGGGAAGAUUGCCUCCAUUGAAAUUAAUCACAAGCAAGUUGAUACAGCCACAAAAGGGCAAAAGGUGGCUAUAAAGGUUUGUGUUAUCCUGUGUUACUCUGUUUCUUUUUCUUCUUGUUAGAUUUAUCAGGUUCUGUCUGACAUAUGUUGUUGUUUCCUGGGUGGUGAGCAGAUCAUUGGGAGCAACUCUGAUGAGCAGCAGAAGAGCUUUGGCAGGCACUUUGAGAUGGAAGACGAGCUCGUCAGCCACAUCACAAGGCGGUCCAUCGACCUUCUCAAAGAAAACUACAGGGCAAGUCUUUCUUGUUUGUUUCCAUGUGCAUUGAUUGGUUCACCCCGUUGUCUGCCCAUAUACUCUGGUGGUUCUUCCAGGCCACCACCACCACCAGUUAGUGAUUUUUUGUUGACUGUUGUUGACUGCAGGAUGACUUGACGAUGGACGACUGGAAACUUGUGAUGAAGCUGAAGAAGAUACUGAGUAUCCCAUGAGUUUGUUGACAAAAAAAGCCGGCGCGACCCUCUGGUUGCUUGCCCAUAGAGGAGGGUGUUUCAAUUUUGAUGAUGAUGAUACGGUUGUAAUUUGGUGGGAGUGCGCUCUCGGUUGCUUUUCUUUCUUUUCAUGCAAUCGUUUUGUUCCUGUUUUUGUUGCACUGUUUAACCUGAAGCUUGUUAACGAUUGGCUUUGGAGCAAAAGUAACAGGUGUGCUGAGCUUGGGCAGUAGACUAGGCUUUAUUUUUUUGGGGGCGGAUAGUUGUCGGUUUCAUGUCCUCUUUGCCUAGUUAUUGCAUUUUCCUAAGAAAAAGCCAGUUAUUACUAUUUUUGUUGUUGGUGAAUUUCACCUGAUACAGUUAUACUCUAAUUGAAUCCAGCUAUUUGGAAUAAAGUAAGAAGGUAAACUGGCGCAAAAGGAGAAAUCUGUCAAACUGAAGAAAAGAAACAAUAAACUGCUUUGAUUGCUGGCAGCCCAUUUGCUUGAUUUAGCAGCGAGGACCUAGGAAUGGUGAGAAACGAUUGACUUGAAGGAAGGGAGAUAUUUCCUCUCUCUGGAAUUACUUGACGAACGUAAGUAAUUCCAGAUGGAGAAAGUAUAUUUCAUUUCAAAAAAAGAGUCCUCACUUUAUAUAGAGAUCACCCUGCACCAAAAAUGCCAUAUCCACUCCAGUGUUGUUAAACAUGAUAGCCUAAGGUGCUACUCCGUGAACAUUUAUACUUUCUUUGAUUUAUAUUACUUGUCUUGAAUAUAGGUGUGUCUACAUAUAUUUGUAUCUAACAAAUCUAAAAAGUAAUAUGAGGGAGUACAACUUAUUCCUACUCUGACAAUUGAUUUUUAUCCCAACCGCUCCAUACUACCAUAGGGGUUGUUUUGGUUAUUCUUAUUUGAGAAAAGUUCACUCACGGUCCUUGAACUUGAGCCGGUGCUCACCUUGGUACCCUAUCAAUUUAAUAUACCCGAAAUAUGGUCCCUUAAUUUGUCAUGGGGUUCACAUGCAAUCCAAAAUACAAUUUUCUGGCACUGGUCAACUGAAUCUGGACACAUUGUAAAAAAAACUAUAGUACACAUGCAGUCGUUCCUAUCCGGUUUCUUCGGCCAUAAGAGCAUCUCCAACGGAUGUGCUAGAUAAGCCGCGCGCGGGAAAAAACGGCUAUAUAGUGCGCGCGUGAUCGAAAGUAGCGCUCCAAUAGCCGCACUAUAAUCCGGCGCGCGGUAAACAAGGUUCAGCGCGCUGAGUAUUUGAUGGGCCCGCUCGCGCGCGCUGGACAAGAUAAUCAUGCGCGCGAAUCUCACCAACCACCAGAUCUGAAACCUCUAGGAGCUAGCGCCUCCGCCCGUGCUUUUCCCCAUUCGCUCUGGCAGCGCUUCCCCCGCCUAUCCUCAGCACGCGAUGUUGUAUGUUUGUUGUAUUGUUUACUAUUUAUUGUAUUGUUCAUUGACUAUUUAUUGUAUUGAAGAUAAACUAUUUGUUUGAGUUGUAAUAAUAAUCAAACUAUUUAUUGUUGAUUUUUUUGUGUGUUUAGUCUUCUUGGUUCUACAUUGAGUGGGAAAUAUUGUUUGUGUUGGGCGCAUGUUGUAGCACCUGUGCUGGAGCACUACUUGCGGCGUGCAAUAUAUAACGUUUCUGAUAAAGCAAAACAUCAGUGCAGCACACUAAAACGCUAUUUCGACACAAAAAAAAUUUAGCACCCCGCGCUACUGCGGUCUGUUGGAGAUGCUGUAAGAGCAUCUCCAACAGCGGUGGUAAAAAACGCGCGCGCGGGGAAACAUGGGUCUUAGCAUGCGCAGAGCGGUUUCGCGCGCUCCAGCGGGCGCGGGAGAUUCUGGCGCGCGCGAAAAAGCGACCCGGCGCGCGGCCUCCUGCGCGCUUUAUAAAUCCAGCGCCCCUCCACGCGCCCUCUCAUCGCUCUGUGUGGGGCCUUAAAAAGGAUAUUCGCGGAACAUGCUCUUUUACGGCUCGUCUUUGCGGGGUCUGCUCGAGCGCUGCCCCCGCCGGCCCGCAAACCCGAAAUUUGCAUUUCAGUUUCACACAUGAAAAUACAUUUAUUUACUUUUUUAAUUUUUUUCAACGGCAUUGGAUACAUAGUAAUUCAUCGAAUCUUUACUAGAAUAGUAAGACUAAAGAAAACAAGAACCACAAUUAUGCAUUUUAGAAGAUAUCCAACUUUCAUAAUUGCUCCCACUAGUUGGAGCAAUAUCUUCUUCAUGCAUUCGUUGUUGAUCUGCGGAUUCUUGAUCUUGCAUUCUUCAUUCUUCUUCUUUGAUUCUAAAGAAGUAGACGUUGCUUCUCCUCUACUUUCUUCUCUAAUUGCACAUGCAGCCGCAUCAUUAGCCUCAAUUCUACUAAGGAGUGCACAAACAUCUAUCAAGUUUUUUAUCAAUAAAUUAAUGUAUUCUUCUUCCCAAAACCAAAAUGAGUAUCCAUCUUCCUACACACAUGACGAUGUUUAAAAUGAGCUGUUGCAAUUGAACCGAAGAAUACAAUGACAAAGCCGAAUGGAAACAACACAUACCCUGUCGUUUUCGAAUUUCAAGAACACCCAUCCGGGGUGCUUCGGCGUGCCAGAAGUUAGUCGCACCACUGUCCGCGUGCAAUCGUCGCAUUGUAUUAGCAGCAUCGGCGAGCCGCUGCGCGAGCACCGAGCCCAGUGGACGGCCGGCCGAAUCCUUGCCGGCAAACCGAUGGCGGCGAUGGCUAUAGGACGAACCCGUAUAUACCUGCAUGCGGCGUUGGGGCUUUCCGGGGUUGUGCGGGCUGCUCCCCGACCAAUCCAUGGCUUGGCGCAGCCACCGAUGACCGGAAACGCCAAAUCCUGCUGCCGCGUCGAAUGGCCGCCGAUGUGCAACUUUUUGGCCCGCCAACGUAGGAGGAAGUGGCGGAGGGCAAGCUCGGGCGUGUUGCGGCCCUCCGUCGUGAUCCCGCCGGCUAGUUUGGCCGGAAUUGUAGGCGGCCCGGCAGUGAGGGGUGGGGAAAAGCGCGGGGCGAGAUGAGGAGGGGCGGCGAUGGGUGGGGAAAAGCGCGGGCUGAAAUGUCCCCCUCCCCCCCCCUCCUAACCACUCCCGCUAUAUACAGGGCGCCGACGGGCCGUGGGGGGAGCCCACAUUUUCGCGGGUUGGACGGGAAUUACGCCGCACCCGGCAAAAACUUUUACGGGCCGGACGCGUUUGCAGGGUCUGGUCUGGCAGGAUUUUUCGCGCCGACCCGUAUUUUGUCGGUUAUUUUGCGGGUCGCGAUGUUAUACGGGGUUUGGUAGAGAUUCUCUUAUACAUGCAACUAAUUAGCGUAGGGGCUUGGCCGUCAACUCUGUGCUGCAAUGGAGUUUGAGUAGGUGGUAAGCUGAGCGCAUUAAUUAAUAUAGGUUAUGAAACACCAUCUCAGCCAGUCGGGCGAGUGUUCUGGAGGCGCGGGAGUAGGAGAGGCCACCGAGUUUAACGCAUGUUGCCGGCGGGCCGUGGUGCACGCACGCCGAUUGUCCAGUCGCACCGGCCGGCCGGCCUGGUCAUGGAUGAAGGAAGAUGUUCCUUUUUUCGUAAUUGGUUGAUUGAUUGGUUUGGCCACGAUGGAGUUGCGCAGCAGGUAGCGCCUAUAACGAGGAGACGUGGUCCGCCUGUAUUCCACAUUCCACAGCACUCCUUCCGUAAAUUAAUAUAAGACUGUCUUAUAACCGAGGGAGGGAGUAGUAUUUAGCUGUCGUUAGAAUUGGAUGAAGAAAAAAAGAUUGGUUCUUUUCGAGCGAAGUCUAAAAUAAAUCCUAAGAUUGUAGAAUUCGAUGAAAACGAACCCUGACGUUUAAAUCUCUGAAACAUGUAUGUACCCUGACUUCGUUGAUCCCGGUCGUUUUGAACCUUGAGAUGGGAUUCCUAUAUACCACCCGGAAAGGCCGGGAUCAAUUAGUCAGCCAGCACCUGCAGAUGGGUCCCAUGGAAUCAAACCCCUUCAGUCUUAGAAAUGUGGGUGAGGUGCCGGUGCAGUUCACGGACAGUAUCGGCGGCUCCCCGAUGCAGAUGCAGCUUCCAGUACGAGACAAGUCCUUCAUCAAUGGAAUGGAAUGGAAUGGCCCGUUGAUUGUGAAGCAACGUCGGCCGUGGUGCCCAUGCAUGCAACAGCAGAGGAUGAGCUCUCAAUUUUCAGUAGAGUAUUUGGACAUUUCCUCUGCUCUGCUGUGCUUAUUGCUCUGCUAAUUUUCAGUAGAGUAUUUUCAAAUGAGCCACGAUGCAAUGCAACCACCCAAAACACACAUAUUGCAUUCGAAGAAUGUUGGUGCUGCCAAGGGAAGAAAUGACAUUGCCCAUUGUUUUUUUUUAGAUACCUUAAUUUUUUCUUGGUGGUGGAGUGAUCGCGGGUCUGCUUUCGGAUCUGGAUGCAGUUGGGUUAGCGACCUCAGGGCGCAGGUCAACACGAUGGUGCUGAGCACGGGUGGGAAUGGCGAGAUGCGCUGCGGCCUGCGGCCCGGCAAUGAGCAGUCUGCUCUCUCUCUCUCUCUCUCUCUCUCUCUCUCUCUCUCUCGGAUCGGAUGCAGCAGCAACAUUUGGCCGACCACCUCGUCUGCGUUCGGCCUCAACGGCGAGCUCAAGGCUGGCCACCUUGCGAUGUCGGCAGAACACGCGCCAUCGACGAGCAGAAGCUGGGCGUCCAUGAGCGACCGACCCACAGGCGGUUGUGGAAAAGCGCAGACAGCACAUGCACAUGCGACGCGAGGUGGUCGUGGGUCCGGCUCCAGAUCGAGGCGUCCGCCCCUCCCGCCUCCGACGAGGCGACGACGAACCGGGAGCAGCUCUUCGCCACCGCCUAGGCCUCGCACGCAACUCCAGCCUGCGCGUGGGAGCUUCAGGAACUCGGGUUAUGUGUGUCGUCGGCGCGAGCCCGGAUGCCAUGGGCGGAGGCCCCCAGCAGCAAGUCCCCGUCUACAUCCACCCUGCCCUGCCGUCUUCAUUGACCGCACCACGGCGUCUCGCGAGUCAGACACUAAGCCAGUGGUGGCGCGGACAUGGCGUUGGCAACCUCCAACAACAGGAUGCCCGGCUGCCCGCCCUUCGCGCCCGAGUGCAGAGUCGCCAUGGAGAGGACCUUGUGCAGCAGCGGUUCGAGCUCGGCGCGGCAACGAUGGUCAUGGCUCUGCUGCGGCGGCGGCGGCGGCGGCGCGCUCUUGGCCACCAACGAGGGGUGGCCACCCUUGACCUCGUUGCGUCGCCGUCGACGGAGGUCGAGCGCACGUGAGGUGCUCGACGAAAUGUGACAUGUCAAGCUUUUUUAAAACAUAUUUUUCUUAUUUUUUUUCUUUUUGCGGGAAUAUUUUUCUUAUUUCAAAAAGCAUGUCAACUUGGAAUAAGUACACGGAUCUGGAGAAGCCUAUCUAGUUUCAAGCAAGUACUCGUCUUUUUUAGUUCGCAUAUAAGAUUUGACUAAAGUCAAUCCUCGUAAAUUUUGACCAAGUUUAUAGAAGAAGAAGAAGAAAAAAAACAUUCGGAAUGUCAACUCAACAACAAUGCAAGAGUCAUGAUUUUAGUUUUCACAUUUAGCAUUGUACAUGUUAACAUUUUUUUCACAUAAAUAUGGUCAAAUUUUACAAAGUUUGACUACAGAUCAUUCUUAUAUGCUGAGUAAAAAUAGACCGAAGGGAGUAUGCGGGUUUGAAAAAGAAUCACAAACUUCAAAGGAAAAGUAAACAAAUUUGAAAAAAAAAGUAUCAACUUAAGAAAAGCACGUGAAUCUCAAAGAAGUUCAUCUAUUUAGAAAGUAAGCGGAUUUGUAAAAAGUUACAUGAACUUGAGAGAAGUAGACGAAUUUUAUAAAAUUACACAAACUUCAAAAAGAGUUUGGAAUUGAAGAAGUAACUGAAUUUUAAAAGGACCCUGAUACUUUUUGAUGGCAAAUUUAGUUAUUCGGCAAUGACAACUUUAGUCGUGGAGGAACAACUUCCUCUUUGGAUGUCGAGUUUCGGUUUUCCGAGGUUUUUUCAUAUGACAAUUCUAAUUGUAAAAAAUGUCAAAUUUUGUGCCACACCUGUGGCAUUUAUCAUUAGGGAAAAAAGUGACGGACUUGACAAAUGCGUCAACUUGAAGAAAGCAGAACCUGCGGAAAACAAGGUGAGCACCAAAACCAAGACAAGGACGAACCUUGUGCAGUUUAUCGUGAAACGGGGUACAAAACGAAGGGCGAAUAUUAUACUACCAUUCAUUAUUCUUACCAAAAUACCCACUUGGUCAGUACGGCCUGAUUCAAAAAAAGAUUAUCACGAACACAGACGGUAGAUAGGAGAAGGAAACGAUAAAGCAGAACUAUCAUUAUACGCCAAAAAAAAUACAACUCGCGGGGCAAUAAAUCUAAAAUCUUCCUUUCUCUUCUCAUAUUCUUGUUUUCUCAGUCUGUUUUUUCAGAAGUUCACGGAACCUACCCAUAAAGAUCCUGAACAGAAUUUACGGGCACCAGCAGUGACGUCCAAACAAACUUAAGAGGAAAACACAGCUAAAUGUCUAACACUGUUCCAUAGACAAAAAAUACCAAAAGUUUCACUCUGCUCAUAAUCCGAUAUAACUCAGUAGAUGCUACACAUGGAAUAAAGGAGAAAUGUGCUGUAGCGAAGAUAGCAAAUGACAUAGCCAAUCAAGCUUACAAAACACGACACACAGUAACAGUGGGCAAGAGUUGGAGCAUCUCAAUUGAACUACACCAAGAACCAGAGGAAGAAGAGCCUCAAAUCUUCUUGCCAGCAUCACCAGCAUCCACCUUUUUGCCACCAUUCUUGAAGUAAUUGUAUGACUCCAGGAAUUUUCCCCUCAUUUCAUCGCUAGCCAUCCACUGGGCUCCAACCACAAUCAAGGCAUAGUCGACCGGACGAAGAGGCACAUCGCACAUCAGCAGACUAUAGGCGGACAGACAAUAAAAGUAGUACCUGCUGGCAUACGGCACCAGUGUCAGUAGGCUCCUCUUUGCCCAGAUAACUUUCUUGUGGAACAUCCUUCUCCCAGCCUCGCUCAAGGCGGCUUCGACAAAAUUCACUUGUUUACUGGCCUUGUGGAGAUCCUCCAGGAGCAGACUCUGGGAAAUAGCCCUCGCAUCCAGUUUCUCAAAGCAUAUCUGUUGGUUCCACUUUACCCCUUGCAAAGCAGAGUCCAAAUUCCUGCCCAUCUGCUCGAUUGCCGCGACACAUGGAUCCUUGCCGUCCCUCACCACAGUCCUCAUUUUAUUGUCAAACAGCAUCUCAAUCUCCUGAAGAUCAGGUUGCAAUCAUCAGCAAAGAACACAUUCAAUCAUCCAAAUAAGGAUAUAAUCUACAGACUGGGUUUGCCAUCGUACAAGCAAUCAUCCCAAUAAGGAUAUAAUCUAAUAUUUAUCUAAUUCUCUACAGACAGCAUCAAUAGCACAAUAAGCAAACAAGUCAUAUAUCAUGGCAACAGAACACUUGAAAUGGCAACAGAAAAUAGACAGUAGAUGAAAUUUCCAAACAGAAUUAACAAAAUAUGAGCCAGCAUACAAGCUAUCAAACAAAAUUUAAUGAUUACACAAGGAAUGAAGUCACGGGAAAUAUUAUGUUAUACAAAUAAUUAAUAUGUUCCACUCAAAUUAGCACAAAAAACAGGUGAGUGGCAUAUUACAUGAGCAAAGAACAGGUGAUUAGCAAAUUACAUGAGCAAAGAACAGGUGAUUAGCAAAUUACAGACACAGCAAAAGACACAUCAGAACAGCUAAGGUGAUCAACAAACUAUAUAAUGAAAAUCACUAUGCAAAUCAGGUCAACUUACAGCUUCAGUAAGUCCAGAAAGCCCAUCCACGACAAAGGAAACAACGUGUGGGUCCCCGGGGCACUCUUUCGGCAAGUCAAGCUGUGAGGGGGAAAAUUGAAUCAGCAUUGAGCAAAAACAAUUAACAGUUGACCUACUGAAUCAAUAUCCAACAAUUUCAACAAGAAAACCGAUCCCAAACCACAUUAGCUUAUAAUCCAAACAAUAUGACUACAAACUGUCGGAAUACAACUUGAUGAGCAUCAUGAACAAUUCAUUGGAAGCUGUCAACAUCCAACAUUUUAGACUGACUGGAAGAUAUCUCAAGAUCAAAUGAUUAACAAAAUGAUGAGCAGAGUAACUUGAGAUAAUAUUCUGAAAGAGAAAUGAAAUGAAUCAAUUAAUAGGCUUGCUACAAUGUCAUGUUACAAGCAAACAUCUGACAGAUUUACACCACAGAACGAGCCCAAGUUGAACGGGAAGAUCUCACCUUAGAGUCAGCAUCAGGAUUGACAUCGGUGGACUCAGGGUUAACUUCGGAUGCAGGUGGGGCAAGGUGCACCUUGUGCAGGACAAGGAUUUGGUCCCUGGCAGCCUUAGACAGGCUGCAGAACAGAUACAUGAUUUUCUACGGGAUCCAUCAGAGCACAAAGGAAUGAAACGAAAGAGGGUGGUUACCUCUCCGCAUAGACACGCGCGAGAUCUGGGUCUUCAUGCACCACCACCAUGACCAGUGUGGGUGCCGGCUUGGUGUGGGAGAACCUUUCCUGAGAGUAGUGGCCGACGCCCUUGGGACGCAGGAGACCAGAGGUGUUGGGCAGGUGAGCGCGGAGGCCGGCGAUGGGGAUGUCAGCGCCGCCCUUGGCAGCAUGGGAGCCGGUGAGAAGACUCCUCGCCGCGACUCCAGCGAGCCGAGAACCCACACGGCAGAGCGCCAUGGCACGCGUCGUCGCUCGCCUCCGCCUCCGCCGCCGCCUGAGGAAGAAAUGUUAGGGUUUAGAUCAGGGGAGACCGGCGCAUAUAAAUAGUAUAGUGAGUGGGCCGUUAUUGGGCCAUAAACCAUACAACGAGAUGCAAAUCUCUGCUAUUAAGCCCACCAUUGAUGUGAAAGUCCAAAAAAAAAUGAGAAGCGCCGCUCAUAGCCACUGGCUGACUGCUGGGGCCAUUCUGUCAGUGGCGUUGGAUAAAUUGCCAGAAAAAGGAGGAAUCAGGCUCUCGGGGGAAUCGAACCCACGACCUGUCCGAAUAGAGACAGGGAGGCGAGCCACUAGGGUAAGCUCUCGCGCGUGACACAGGAGGAAACAGAUCGAACUAGAUCUAUCAAAUUAGGGGAGCAGAAUCAGGAAGAUCAAAACCAAUGAAAACUUGCAUAGAUCUGAAAACAAGUGNNNNNNNNNNNNNNNNNNNNNNNNNNNNNNNNNNNNNNNNNNNNNNNNNNNNNNNNNNNNNNNNNNNNNNNNNNNNNNNNNNNNNNNNNNNNNNNNNNNNNNNNNNNNNNNNNNNNNNNNNNNNNNNNNNNNNNNNNNNNNNNNNNNNNNNNNNNNNNNNNNCUCCCUUGGGAAUCGAACCCACGACCUGUCCGAAUAGAGACAGGGAGGCGAGCCACUAGGGUAAGCUCUCGCGCGUGCCACAAGAGGAAACAGAUCGAACUAGAUCUAUCAAAUUAGGGGAGCAGAAUCAGGAAGAUCAAAACCAAUGAAAACUUGCAUAGAUCUGAAAAACAAGUGCUGCAUGGUAUCAAACUAUCAACAAAAAACGAGGUCGAACCAACGAAAACAACACGCGCAUCUUUGAUCUGAAGAAGGAGAUGGCAGGGUUUCAACUUCAAAAGAUGGAUCCAAAAAAUCUGGCAAAUCGUUCGCCGCUUGGGCUUGCGAAGGCAAAUAUCGAUCUGAGAUACUGAUACCCAACAUGCCAUGGCCACCAUGGCCAUGGCCAAAGUCUCAAAGGUCACGCGAACCUCACGAGACCUUGGCCAUGGCCGUGGGAACCAAAGCGAUGGUACGUCUUGUCGAAGCACAAGGGCUGGCGAGUUCUUGGAACUCGGAUGGCCAAGAGAGGAGGAGGGGGGUUGGUGCGAGAGGAGGAAGAAGGAACUAGAGAUGCGCCGCACCAUUGUGGCGCUAGGUCUAAGAUAAGGGAGGAGGGCCAAAGGAUGACAAAGAGGAGGCCGCACCAUUAUAUAUAUCCUACUAGUAAGCCUUCUAGGUCACGGCUCUUGGUUGCGUGAAUUAAUGGCGUGAUUCACGGGCCGGGUCGC
rnacentral:lncRNA from 1 species